rnacentral:misc_RNA from 1 species
GGAGACGAUCCAUGGGAGGCGUUUGUCAAUAACGUCUGGUAUAUAAAAAUCCUUUCACCCGAAGAUGUGCAGAAGCUGGGAAAGGAAGAGGCUGAAUCCCUGAACCGUGGAGCGGUUGAAAGGAUGAGCAGCACUAAUGCUGAUGAUCGGGAUCUUAUUUCUGGAAUGCCAUCUCUUGGAUCGCUGGAGUACUGAUUGUUGGAAUGCUUCAAAAGAAGAGGACUGAUUCUGAUUCUCAAUCUUCUCAAGGGUCAGAAAUUCAAAUUUCAUGCUUCAUAACCUGGC